rnacentral:rRNA from 1 species
GAUGAACGCUGGCGGCGUGCCUAAUACAUGCAAGUCGAGCGAACAGACUAGGAGCUUGCUCCUCUGACGUUAGCGGCGGACGGGUGAGUAACACGUGGCUAACCUACCUAUAAGACUGGGAUAACUUCGGGAAACCGGAGCUAAUACCGGAUAAUAUAUUGAACCGCAUGGUUCAAUAGUGAAAGACGGUUUUGCUGUCACUUAUAGAUGGAUCCGCGCCGCAUUAGCUAGUUGGUAAGGUAACGGCUUACCAAGGCAACGAUGCGUAGCCGACCGGAGAUGGGGAUCGGCCACACGGGAACGGAGACACGGUCCAGACUCCUACGGGAGGCAGCAGUAGGGAAUCGUCCGCAAUGGGCUAAAGCCUGGCGGAGCAACGCCGAGUGAGUGAUGAAGGUCUUCGGAUCGUAAAACUCUGUUAUUAGGGAAGAACAAAUGUGUAAGUAACUAUGCACGUCUUGACGGUACCUAAUCAGAAAGCCACGGCUAACUACGUG